rnacentral:rRNA from 1 species
UACAGAGGUCUCAAGCGUUGUUCGGAUUCAUUGGGCGUAAAGGGUGCGUAGGCGGCGCGGUAAGUCGGGUGUGAAAUCUCGGAGCUUAACUCCGAAACUGCAUUCGAUACUGCCGUGCUUGAGGACUGGAGAGGAGACUGGAAUUUACGGUGUAGCGGUGAAAUGCGUAGAUAUCGUAAGGAAGACCAGUGGCGAAAGGCGGGGUCUCUGGACAGUUCCUGACGCUGAGGCACGAAGGUCAGGGGAGCAAACGGG